UACAGAGGUCUCAAGCGUUGUUCGGAUUCAUUGGGCGUAAAGGGUGCGUAGGCGGCGCGGUAAGUCGGGUGUGAAAUCUCGGGGCUUAACUCCGAAACUGCAUUCGAUACUGCCGUGCUUGAGGACUGGAAAGGAGACUGGAAUUCAUGGUGUAGCAGUGAAAUGCGUAGAGAUCAUGAGGAAGACCAGUGGCGAAGGCGGGUCUCUGGACAGUUCCUGACACUGAGGCACGAAGGCCAGGGGAGCAAACGGG
rnacentral:rRNA from 1 species